CGGGAUGUGGCGAAAUUUGGUAUCGCACCUGUUUUGGGAACAGGGGGCUGCAGGUUCAAAUCCUGUCAUCCCGACCA
rnacentral:tRNA from 2 species